GUCGAGCGGACAGAAGGGAGCUUGCUCCCGGAUGUUAGCGGCGGACGGGUGAGUAACACGUGGGUAACCUGCCUGUAAGACUGGGAUAACUCCGGGAAACCGGAGCUAAUACCGGAUAGUUCCUUGAACCGCAUGGUUCAAGGAUGAAAGACGGUUUCGGCUGUCACUUACAGAUGGACCCGCGGCGCAUUAGCUAGUUGGUGGGGUAAUGGCUCACCAAGGCGACGAUGCGUAGCCGACCUGAGAGGGUGAUCGGCCACACUGGGACUGAGACACGGCCCAGACUCCUACGGGAGGCAGCAGUAGGGAAUCUUCCGCAAUGGACGAAAGUCUGACGGAGCAACGCCGCGUGAGUGAUGAAGGUUUUCGGAUCGUAAAGCUCUGUUGUUAGGGAAGAACAAGUGCGAGAGUAACUGCUCGCACCUUGACGGUACCUAACCAGAAAGCCACGGCUAACUACGUGCCAGCAGCCGCGGUAAUACGUAGGUGGCAAGCGUUGUCCGGAAUUAUUGGGCGUAAAGGGCUCGCAGGCGGUUUCUUAAGUCUGAUGUGAAAGCCCCCGGCUCAACCGGGGAGGGUCAUUGGAAACUGGGAAACUUGAGUGCAGAAGAGGAGAGUGGAAUUCCACGUGUAGCGGUGAAAUGCGUAGAGAUGUGGAGGAACACCAGUGGCGAAGGCGACUCUCUGGUCUGUAACUGACGCUGAGGAGCGAAAGCGUGGGGAGCGAA
rnacentral:rRNA from 1 species